rnacentral:rRNA from 1 species
UACGAAGGGGGCUAGCGUUGCUCGGAAUUACUGGGCGUAAAGCUCACGUAGGCGGCUUUCUAAGUCGGGGGUGAAAUCCUGGAGCUCAACUCCAGAACUGCCUUCGAUACUGGAGAGCUCGAGUCCGGGAGAGGUGAGUGGAACUGCGAGUGUAGAGGUGAAAUUCGUAGAUAUUCGCAAGAACACCAGUGGCGAAGGCGGCUCACUGGCCCGGUACUGACGCUGAGGUGCGAAAGCGUGGGGAGCAAACAGG